ensembl:lncRNA
UCCCAGGACGUGCUAUGGGGUGGCUUUGGCCACCAAGUGUCACAGCAUGCAGCAGGCUGGCUGGUCACGCAGUGUCACAGAGUGGGGUGGCUUUGUCACCCGUUGUCACAGCACGGGGUGGCUUUGUCACCCGGUGUCACAGCACACGCCUUGGGGUGGCUUUGGCCACCCGGUGUCACGGCGUGUACCAGACCUGCCACCCACCCGCUGUCACAGCGUGGGGUGGCUUGGGUCACAGCGUGCACCAGGGGUGGCUUUGGUCACCCAAUGUCCCACCAUGGGGUGGCUUUGGCCACCCAGUGUCACAGCGUGGGGUGGCUUGGGUCACAGCAUGCACCAUGGGGUGGCUUUGGCCACCUGGUGUCCCACCAUGGGGUGGCUUUGGUCACCUACUGUCCCACCACGGGGUGGCUUUGGCCACCUGCUGUCCCACCGUGGGGUGGCUUUGGCCACCCACUGUCACAGAGUGGGGUGGCUUUGGUCACAGCGUACACCAGGGGUGGCUUUGGCCGCCCAAUGUCCCACCAUGGGGUGGCUUUGGCCACUUGGUCUCACAGCGUGGGGUGGCUUUGGCCACCUACUGUCCCACUGUGGGGUGGCUUUGGCCACCCAGUGUCACAGAGUGGGGUGGCUUUGGUCACAGCGUACACCAGGGGUGGCUUUGGCCAGCCAAUGUCCCACCACGGGGUGGCUUUGGCCACCUGCUGUCCCACUGUGGGGUGGCUUUGGCCACCCACUGUCACAGAGUGGGGUGGCUUUGGUCACAGCGUGCACCAGGGGUGGCUUUGGCCAGCCAAUGUCCCACCAUGGGGUGGCUUUGGCCACUUGGUCUCACAGCGUGGGGUGGCUUUGGCCACCUACUGUCCCAGUGUGGGGUGGCUUUGGCCACCCAGUGUCACAGAGUGGGGUGGCUUUGGCCACCUGGUGUCCCACCGUGGGGUGGCUUUGUCCCCCGCUGUCACGGAGCACCCGUGGGUCGCUGCCCGUCCCGGGGCUCCCCCCCCCCCCC